UACGGAGGGGGCUAGCGUUGUUCGGAAUCACUGGGCGUAAGGGGCGCGUAGGCGGCUUUAUAAGUCGGGGGUGAAAGCCUGUGGCUCAACCACAGAAUUGCCUUCGAUACUGUAUGGCUAGAGACCGGAAGAGGUAAGUGGAACUGCGAGUGUAGAGGUGAAAUUCGUAGAUAUUCGCAAGAACACCAGUGGCGAAGGCGGCUUACUGGUCCGGUUCUGACGCUGAGGCGCGAAAGCGCGGGGAGCAAACAGG
rnacentral:rRNA from 1 species